CUGCUGCCUCCCGUAGGAGUCUGGGCCGUGUCUCAGUCCCAGUGUGGGGGGCCUUCCUCUCAGAACCCCUACGCAUCGUCGCCACGGUGGGCCGUCACCCCGCCGUCUAGCUAAUGCGCCGCAUGCCCAUCCGCCACCGGAUCGCUCCUUUGGCCACCCGGAGGAUGCCCUCCGGUGGCGUCACGGGGUAUUAGGCCGCGUUUCCGCGGGUUAUCCCCCUGUGGCGGCCAGGUUGCAUACGUGUUACUCACCCGUGCGCCGGUCGCCGGCGGG
rnacentral:rRNA from 1 species